UGGGCUAAGAGGUGGGAAAAGAGUGGAUACACCUUGGCCAGUGAACUUCUGAGUGUUGGAAGUGUGCUACAUUGAAACUAAAGCAGGAUUUCGCUAACACCAGUAGAGCUUGCCUCAAUGUCUGGAGUUCGGUAGUGAUCACUGCCACAUAC
rnacentral:snoRNA from 14 species